rnacentral:rRNA from 1 species
GCUUCGCUGACGAGUGGCGGACGGGUGAGUAAUGUCUGGGAAACUGCCUGAUGGAGGGGGAUAACUACUGGAAACGGUGGCUAAUACCGCAUAACGUCGCAAGACCAAAGAGGGGGACCUUCGGGCCUCUUGCCAUCAGAUGUGCCCAGAUGGGAUUAGCUAGUUGGUGAGGUAACGGCUCACCAAGGCGACGAUCCCUAGCUGGUCUGAGAGGAUGACCAGCCACACUGGAACUGAGACACGGUCCAGACUCCUACGGGAGGCAGCAGUGGGGAAUAUUGCACAAUGGGCGCAAGCCUGAUGCAGCCAUGCCGCGUGUAUGAAGAAGGCCUUCGGGUUGUAAAGUACUUUCAGCGGGGAGG